GAUGAACGCUGGCGGCGUGCCUAAUACAUGCAAGUCGAACGGACAGACGAGAAGGUUGGUUGUCGCGUGGUAGCCGCGGGCGUGAGAGAAACGCGUGUAUACGCUCCCUGUAAGUCUGGGAGCACUAGGGGAAACCGGAGCUAAUACGAUAUAAGAUUGUGAACCGCAGGGUUCAAAAGUGAAAGACGGCGGUGCGGUCGCUGAUAGAUGCAUCCGCGCUGGAUUAGCUAGUUGGUAAGGUAAAGGCUUACCAAGGCGACGAUGCGUAGCUGAUCUGAGAGGGUGAUCGGCCACACUGGAACUGAGACACGGCCCAGACUCCUACGGGAGGCAGCAGUAGGGAAUCUUGGGCAAUGGGCGAAAGCCUGACGCAGCCACGCCGCGUGCGGGAUGAAGGCCUUCGGGUCGUAAAAUUCUGUUGUACGGAAAGAAAAGCUUUGUACGUAAAAGUAGAGAUCUUGACGGUACCGAAUCAAAAAGCACCGGCUAACUACGUG
rnacentral:rRNA from 1 species